UGCCAGGCUAGAGUCAAGCUCAACAGGGUCUUCUUUCCCCGCUGAUUCCGCCAAGCCCGCAGAUCGGAAGUGCGU